AUUGAACGCUGGCGGCAGGCUUAACACAUGCAAGUCGAACGAGUGGCGGACGUGUGACUAAUGCCUGGGACUCUUGCUUAUGGAGAGGGACAGCUAACGGGACCUGUAGCUAAUAACGCGUUCCAUAGGCUGAGUCGAAUUGGGAUUAGGUAGUGGGUGCGGUAAAGGCUCACAAAGCCGACUAUCUCUAGCUGGUCUGAGAGGAUGACCAGUCACACUGGGACUGAGACACGGCCCAGACUCCUACGGGAGGCAGCAGUGGGGAAUAUUGCGCAAUGGGGGCAACCUGACGCAGCCAUGCCGCGUGAAGGAAGAAGGCCUUCGGGUUGUAAAGUUCUUUCGGUCGGGAGGCGUUAACUACAGAAUAAGUACCGGCUAACUCCGUGCCAGCAGCCGCGGUAAUUC
rnacentral:rRNA from 1 species